UACGGAGGGUGCGAGCGUUGUCCGGAAUCACUGGGCGUAAAGGGCGCGUAGGCGGCGCGGAUAGUCGGCGGUGAAAGCCCGGAGCUCAACUCCGGGUCGGCCGUCGAUACUUCCGGGCUUGAGCACUGUAGAGGCAGAUGGAAUUCCGGGUGUAGCGGUGGAAUGCGUAGAGAUCCGGAAGAACACCGGUGGCGAAGGCGGCCCUCUGGAUCGUUGCUGACGCUGAGACGCGAAAGCGUGGGGAGCAAACAGG
rnacentral:rRNA from 1 species